rnacentral:rRNA from 1 species
CAAUAGCGUAUAUUAAAGUUGUUGCAGUUAAAAAGCUCGUAGUUGAAUUUCUGUUGCGGCGACCAAUUGAUACUUUGUAUCUAUUGUGUUGCUUCAACAUUUCUCCAACCACGACACUUCGGUGCCUGUGUUUGGAGAGCUUUACUUUGAGAAACAUAGAGUGUUUCAAGCAGGCUUUGCCUUGAAUACUGCAGCAUGGAAUAAUGAAAUAGACCUGCAUUCCUAUUUCGUUGGUUUUGAGGAAUGAGUGAUGAUUAAUAGGGAUAGUUGGGGGCAUUUGUAUUCGACUGUCAGAGGUGAAAUUCUUAGAUUUGUCGAAGACAAACAACUGCGAAAGCAUUUGCCAAGGAUAUUCUCAUUAA